ensembl:lncRNA
AUGGCGAAGAGUCCAGCUCUGAGUACUCGGACAUCCCGUGGAGCCCGUCAAGAGGCAGCCAAGGUCCCAGUGCCUGUCCACGCUGGUCAGGCCGAUCUUCGGAGAGCUCAAAGAGAAGCACAAGCAGAGCGGCGGGAGCGUGGGCGUGCCGGAGGAGCUGGAGAACUCCUUCAGCCUGGCCGAGGAGUCCUGCCCCGGCAUCUCGGACAAGCUGAUGGUGCACCUGGUGGAGCGAGUGCAGAGGUUUUCACACAACAGAAACCACCUGACAUCUACCCGCUGAAGCACACUGCUGUUCAGAGAGGGGACAGAAGGUCCUUUGUUUUUGUUCUGAGCUCCGUAAUAACUGUGCUGACUUGGAAGGUGCCCCAUGCUGUGUGGUGCCUGCAGGGACACAUCAGAUCCUAUGGGCCUCACCUGCCAGGUCACCGUCUCCUUCUACCUCUGCAUUGUGCUGUCCUGCACGUCAGUGGAUGCUGUUCCACGUGCCCACUGCCCUGCUUCUGCUCCUGGCCCAGCAGUAGAGUCCACAGGGGCUCCAGCAGCCGGCAUUGCCCUCGUGAGUUACGCCUGGCUCUUCUGCAGACUCACACAGCCCCGUGGCUGCUCAGACCAAGGAGCAGAGCAACUAUCAGGGCAGCUCUGCCUCCUCCCACAAGGUGGGGAGAGGCAACGGGGCAGCCCCCAGAGGAGUGCCCUGGCCACUGUCCUCCCGGGGUCCAUCAUGGCCACAGAUUUGCCUUGUGGUGUUGGAUCAGGUACCGUGCCUGCUUAUAAGUACUUGUUUCAUCCAGAAUGUUUUGUUUUUUAAGAAAAUGGAAUUCACUUGUUUCCUUAAAUAUUCUGAGGUUAAUAUGUUAGUUUUCAUAGAACACUGAGAGGCCCCUGCCACUUUCAAUAAAGACCUGACUUGGAGACAAAAAAAAAAGAAUAUACAUAAAUAUGUAUGUAUAAAAUGUUUGUUAUAGCUUGACUCAUAAUAGUAAAAUAUUGAGUAAGAUGUCCAGAAAUGGUGAUUAGCUUUUAAAAUUAAAGAACAAUUUUACUCUACAAUUUAUAUGAAAAUACAAAGGGCCUAGAAUAGUCAGCCUUGAAGAAGAGCAGCUGUAUCACCUGUGUUUCGAACACUUUCUGUUGUUAAAGUAAAUAUAACAGAAUAUUAACAUUUAGUAAAUCCAAGUGGUGGGAACACAGAUAUCAUACUAUUUGCUGCAUUUGUUUGUAUGAAAGAGUUCAUAAUUUUUUAAUAUCUAAAAAAAUAGACUUGGUCUCAAUGUAACAGCUUGAAAGAUCCAGCAAUGGGGCCAAGUGCAGUGGCUCAGGCUUGCAAUCCCAGCACUUUGGGAGGCCAAGGAAGGAGGAUCACUUUGAGGGCAGGAGUUCAAGACCAGCCUGGGCAACAUAACAAGAUUAUGUCUCUAAAUUAAAAAAAAAAUUUUAAAUAAAUUUUUAAAAAGAAUGACCCAAUACUGGAACCAGACACAUCCCAAAGAGAUGAACAUCCAGCUUUUUUUUUUUUUUUUUUUUUUGAGACGUAGUUCUGCACUGUCACCCAGGCUGGAGUGCAAUGGCUCGAUUUCAGCUCACUGCAACCUCCGCCUGGGUUCGAGCGAUUGUUCUGCCUCAGCCCCCUGAGUAGCUGGGAUUACAGGUGCCCGCCACCACACCUGGAUAAGUUUUUUGUAUUUUUAGUAGAGACAGGAUUUCGUCAUGUUGGCCAAGCUAGUCUCAAACUCCUGACCUCAGGUGAUCUGCCCGCCUCAGCCUUCCAAAGUGCUGGGAUUACAGCCAGCCACAUCCAGCUACCUGUUGGUCCUUGAUCAGAAGUCAG